rnacentral:rRNA from 1 species
GAUGAACGCUGGCGGCGUGCCUAAUACAUGCAAGUCGAGCGAACAGACGAGGAGCUUGCUCCUCUGACGUUAGCGGCGGACGGGUGAGUAACACGUGGAUAACCUACCUAUAAGACUGGGAUAACUUCGGGAAACCGGAGCUAAUACCGGAUAAUAUAUUGAACCGCAUGGUUCAAUAGUGAAAGACGGUUUUGCUGUCACUUAUAGAUGGAUCCGCGCCGCAUUAGCUAGUUGGUAAGGUAACGGCUUACCAAGGCGACGAUGCGUAGCCGACCUGAGAGGGUGGUCGGCCACACUGGAACGGGGACACGGUCCAGACUCCUAAGGGAGGCAGCAGUAGGGAAUCUUCCGCAAUGGGCGAAAGCCUGACGGAGCAACGCCGCGUGAGUGAUGAAGGUCUUCGGAUCGUAAAACUCUGUUAUUAGGGAAGAACAAAUGUGUAAGUAACUAUGCACGCCUUGACGGUACCUAAUCAGAAAGCCACGGCUAACUACGUG